UACGUAGGGGGCAAGCGUUGUCCGGAUUUAUUGGGCGUAAAGAGCGUGUAGGCGGCUAGGUAGGGGGGUUGUGAAAACUGGAGGCUCAACCUUCAGACGUCGACCCAAACCCCCUGGCUAGAGUCCGGAAGAGGAGAGUGGAAUUCCUGGUGUAGCGGUGAAAUGCGUAGAUAUCGGGAGGAACACCAGUGGCGAAGGCGGAUCUCUGGGCCGAUACUGACGCUGAGGAGCGAAAGCGUGGGGAGCGAACAGG
rnacentral:rRNA from 1 species